rnacentral:rRNA from 1 species
GUCUACAGCCACACCACCCUGAACACGCCCAAUCUCUUCUGAUCUCAGAAGCUAAGCAGGAUCAGGCCUGGUUAGUACUUGGAUGGGAGACAUCUGUGUUUCUUCCAAGUUUGGGCU